rnacentral:rRNA from 1 species
CUGUAAGCCUGUGAAGGUGUACUGUGAGGUAUGCUGGAGGUAUCAGAAGUGCGAAUGCUGACAUAAGUAACGAUAAAGCGGGUGAAAAGCCCGCUCGCCGGAAGACCAAGGGUUCCUGUCCAACGUUAAUCGGGGCAGGGUGAGUCGACCCCUAAGGCGAGGCCGAAAGGCGUAGUCGAUGGGAAACAGGUUAAUAUUCCUGUACUUGGUGUUACUGCGAAGGGGGGACGGAGAAGGCUAUGUUGGCCGGGCGACGGUUGUCCCGGUUUAAGCGUGUAGGCUGGUUUUCCAGGCAAAUCCGGAAAAUCAAGGCUGAGGCGUGAUGACGAGGCACUACGGUGCUGAAGCAACAAAUGCCCUGCUUCCAGGAAAAGCCUCUAAGCAUCAGGUAACAUCAAAUCGUACCCCAAACCGACACAGGUGGUCAGGUAGAGAAUACCAAGGCGCUUGAGAGAACUCGGGUGAAGGAACUAGGCAAAAUGGUGCCGUAACUUCGGGAGAAGGCACGC